rnacentral:rRNA from 1 species
UGUGUCCUACGGGAGGCAGCAGUGAGGAAUAUUGGUCAAUGGUCGGGAGACUGAACCAGCCAAGCCGCGUGAGGGAGGAAGGUACAGAGUAUCGUAAACCUCUUUUGUCAGGGAACAAAGACUGGGACGCGUCCCCGGAUGAGUGUACCUGAAGAAAAAGCAUCGGCUAACUCCGUGCCAGCAGCCGCGGUAAUACGGAGGAUGCGAGCGUUAUCCGGAUUUAUUGGGUUUAAAGGGUGCGCAGGCGGUUUGUUAAGUCAGCGGUCAAAGCCCGGGGCUCAACCCCGGCCCGCCGUUGAAACUGG